CGCUAGCGACAGGCCUAACACAUGCAAGUCGAGGGGCAGCACAAGGAGCAAUCUGAGGUGGCGACCGGCGCACGGGUGAGUAACACGUAUGCAACCUGCCUGUAAGCGGGGAAUAACCCGUUGAAAGACGGACUAAUACCCGCAUAAUACUAAAUUACUGCAAUGGGUAAUUUAUUUAAACAUUUAUGGCUUACAGAUGGGCAUGCGCAUGAUUAGCUAGUUGGAGAGGUAACGGCUCCCCAAGGCAACGAUCAUUAGGGGUUCUGAGAGGAAGGUCCCCCACACUGGUACUGAGACACGGACCAGACUCCUACGGGAGGCAGCAGUGAGGAAUAUUGGUCAAUGGACGAGAGUCUGAACCAGCCAAGUCGCGUGCAGGGAAGAAUGUCCUAAUGGAUUGUAAACUGCUUCUGCAGGGGAAUAAAGUGCAUCACGUGUGAUGUUUUGUAUGUACUCUGCGAAUAAAGGAUCGGCUAACUCCGUGCCAGCCGCUGC
rnacentral:rRNA from 1 species